UUUUGCAUUUAUAACUUAGCAUUUAUAGCUUAGUUCUUGUUCCUACCAUUUGGUAUUGUUUCUUCUUUUUUUUCUAGGUAAAUUCAAGCUUUCUGAUAUGGAGGAUUAUGCUUUUAAAAAUCAAGACCAGUUGAUAAAGCAGCUAGAAAAACAGCUGGAACCUGCUGGAUUUGAAACAUUGGAAAAGCACCUGUCAGGGAGUACACUGAAGAAUUCCUUUUCACUCACUAGUCAGCAAUAUUACAACCUGUACUAUUGCCGAGAUCUAAACUCUUUUCUAAAUAACAGUGAUAAGAAAUUACCAAUGGUACCUAAGAAAAUACUUGCUCUCUUGUUCUCUGCUAGUAAGACCAAUAAAAAGAGGGGGGCUCAUAAAACGAAAAGAAAUGUUCAGAACUUCACAGAGGAUGACUCUGCUGAAUCUGCUGCUGCUGAUGAACAGGAAGGCAUUAAAGAUACACGUGGAUGGAAAAAUUACAAGGAAGAUGCCGUUACUGAAUCUGCUGCUGCAGAUGAACAGGAAGUCAGUAACGAUAUGAAUGAAUACAAAAACCACAAUGACUCCAUUCAGAAGACUGGAUUAUCUGUAAGUGAGUCAAGAAUGGAAUAUGAAAUGAAAAAAUCCUUAGUUAAUGAAGAGAAAAGGAAUGUUCAGGCCUUGCCAAAGGAUAAGUUUAUUGAGCCUCUCGAUUACAGUGAACAGGAAAAAAUUAAAGACAUUAAAUACAAAAAGAGUGUAAUUAAAAACUAUGCCAAAGAAGAAACUGAUGAGGUGCCAAACACAAUUCCAGAAAAUGAGCUGUAUGAGAAAUAUAAAGAAAUCUUCAGGACUUUAAAAAAGAAAUAUCAGGAAGAAGGACGGGACUUAUUACCCAACUCUCAACUCUAUGUAAACAAAAUCAGUGUUCGUAAGCACAAAAUAUACAGCUGUUUGAGAGCCCAGGAUGUGUUACUGGUUAAGUUACCAGAGGAAACAGAGUACCGUAUUUUAAAGAUUUUGGAGAAUAAAAAAGAUGUUACUGUGAAAGGAAACCUGAAGAAAAAUGUGGAAUUUGAAUUGAAGUUUAACAUGGCUAUUCUAGGUGUUCAGCGUUCUGUGCUUAUACAUGGUAGCAAUUUCUUUACAAGGGAUGCUUCUUCAUUUACAGAAUAUGAAGAGUUUUUUGAAAAGAUUGUGUCUAAAGUUGUACUUCCUGUCCUAGCCCUGUAUAAGAGGGUAUAUCAAGUUAUAUUCCAGAAGGCAUGGGCAGCCGAAGACAUUUUCCUGCCAGGAGUGGAACAGCAAACAGCAACCAGAGCCACCCAAAGCUAACUGAAUUAUUUGGCAUAUAAAGCGGAAAAUCUAACACAUCUGUGUGAUUGGGUU
rnacentral:lncRNA from 1 species